rnacentral:rRNA from 1 species
GCUACGGCACGGCAGGCGACGGCGGUGGUACGGAGGGGCGUAGCGUGAAGGGGAGUGAGUGGGGGGAAAGCGUGCGCGGGCGGUUUGUUAAGCGAGAUGGGAAAGCCCUGGGCUCAACCUAGGAAUAGCAUUUCGAACUGUCGAACUAGAGUCUUGUAGAGGGGGGUAGAAUUCCAGGUGUAGCGGUGAAAUGCGUAGAGAUCUGGAGGAAUACCGGUGGCGAAGGCGGCCCCCUGGACAAAGACUGACGCUCAUGCACGAAAGCGUGGGGAGCAAACAGGAUUAGAUACCCCGGUAGUC